UAAGGAAUAUUGGUCAAUGGACGAAAGUCUGAACCAGCCAUGCCGCGUGGAGGAUGAAGGUCCUCUGGAUUGUAAACUUCUUUUAUCUGGGACGAAAAAAGGUCUUUCUAGAUCGUCUGACGGUACCAGAUGAAUAAGCACCGGCUAACUCCGUGCCAGCAGCCGCGGUAAUACGGAGGGUGCAAGCGUUAUCCGGAUUCACUGGGUUUAAAGGGUGCGUAGGUGGGUUGGUAAGUCAGUGGUGAAAUCUUCGAGCUUAACUCGGAAACUGCCAUUGAUACUAUCAGUCUUGAAUAUUGUGGAGGUUAGCGGAAUAUGUCAUGUAGCGGUGAAAUGCUUAGAUAUGACAUAGAACACCAAUUGCGAAGGCAGCUGGCUACACAUAUAUUGACACUGAGGCACGAAAGCGUGGGGAUCAAAACAGGAUUAGAUACCCUGGUAGUCCACGCCCUAAACUAUGGAUACUCGACAUACGCGAUACACUGUGUGUGUCUGAGCGAAAGCAUUAAGUAUCCCCACCUGGGAAGUACGAUCGCAAGAUUGAAACUCAAAUGAAUGACGGGGUCAUAGCUGUUUCCUG
rnacentral:rRNA from 1 species